ACAUCAAAGAUGUUUGCUGGGAUGUCAGCCAAACAAAAAAUUCUUUAUAUUGGAUUUCGAUACCAAAAAAAUUGCUGAUUCUAUUGAUUAAUUCAUUGACCGCUGUCAGUCAACAUUGUCCGCCUGCAACAACAAACAGUGAACCAUCAUGAUUUCUAACGCAAGGGUCAACAAUCCGUAUCCACCAGUACCGCAGAUCAACAGCAAACACAGCAAAGCGGGUAACCUGACACCUCAUGACGACAACAAUAACAAAAUCGUCAAUCAGCAAGAAACCAAUAGCAGCACCAGCAACAGCACCAACCAACAGCAGCAGCGCCAACAGCAGCACCAACCAACUUCAACCUAAGUUUAAGAUUUUUGAUUCAGUUCUGUAAAAGCACUCAAAUUAAUAAAAACAGAAAUGUAGUAACUGUUAA